CGAAGGCCUACGGAGCCACGAGGUCUGCGUGCGGCCCAGGAGCGGCCUGCAGGGUUUGGAAACCCACAGCAGCGGGUCAGACCCGAGGAAAGAAACUGCAAUUGUGGAGAGCACCAGAUGCAGAACAGAAGUCUCUGCUGAUUUGCUUGUUGCAAAAGGCCCCCGCUGACUUUACCUUUGGGUCUGUUCUACCAUCUCUCAUUGUUUCACGUAAGCGUUUCUCUGGUAAUUAGGCUGGUAAUGACAAUCAUCCCUGGUGGCUCUCCCUGGUUGAGAAAGCUCUGCUCGUGGGCAGUGAGUUUUGUCUCUUAAGUGGGGAAGGCCGAGUGUCUAUAACUGCAAACGUUGCCCCGGUUAUGAUGGAAAACCUUUAUAAAAGAGGAAAGCUUUGCUGCAUUUCCUAGAAGUGAUUCAGAAUGCAUUUGUCUGGUUUCCUCUGGAAGCUCACAGCAGCCUUGGAGGUGAAUGUUUUGUCCCUGGCUGCUUCCUUCUGGACUCUGCGGUCUGCGCCGUCCCGGAGGAGCACAGAUAGCUCUGAUUUGCAGCUGCAGGUGCAGGCUUCUUGUAGCUGGGCACAGAUAUGUUCAGAGCUUUGAAGACCGAGACCUUGAACUAGCAGCGGAUGCAGAUUAAAAACCCUCUUCAGCUUCCUAAAGUGCAACUGAACUUCUGCAUGAGGCGACGAAGGAAAACAACCCCCUGGUUUCCAGGGGCUUUUUUAAACGUAGCAGGGAUUUGAUGUUUUAUCUUUGUUGCCUUUCCUCUAAAUGAUUUCAAACUACCCAUGGAUACGAAUGCCUCUAAUUUCAAGGCUUUCCUUUUGGGAUACAACAAAGUGAAGGCAGCCACUCAGAAGUUUGGCUGCAGGCAGGAGAAGAACAGACGUGUCCAUGAGCGGACACAGCCAUCCGUGGGAGCUGGAAGAACAGAGGGGAAUGGGAAGUUCUGGUUUCAGAAGCUUGUCCUCGGAGCUGGAUGUAAGAGGGUUCUGCCCUAAGAACACAGGCUCUACAGGCUGAUUGUACAGCAGCAGCUCCUCUACUGGUCUUUACAAAACCCAUUUGAGGUCUACUAAUGAAAAGUGCUAUGGAAUUAUUGGUCUGACUUCUAUUCCUGCAGAAUUAGUGCGGCCCGAAGCCAGAGGGAGCCCUUCUGCAGGGAGGUUUGGAUCACCUUUGCUCAAGGGAAACUGAUGCAGGCUGCGUAUCGGCAGCGUAGGGGAAUGAACCGGACGAGAGGAGAAUAUUUAUUUAUUAUGGGAAUGUCUGAAGUUAUCCUUUCUGCUGGCUUUUGGCUCAAGGAGGAGCACCCCGCGUGCCACCCAGAGUCAAAGGGUAAGUGCAGUGAAAAAUAACAAUCAAAGAAAAAAAAAACAGCAAGGAAAAAGAAAAAAAAAAAAAGAAAGGAAAAGGAAAGAGGUAGCGUUGCAAGUAAAGCUGGGAGAUUGCCAUUAAGAAGAAGAAAAAAAAAAUUAAAAAGGUGGGGGUGGUCACCAUGGGGCCGGCUGGGCUCCG
ensembl:lncRNA